rnacentral:rRNA from 1 species
GACGAACGCUGGCGGCGUGCCUAAUACAUGCAAGUAGAACGCUGAAGAGAGGAGCUUCCUCUUCUUGGAUGAGUUGCGAACGGGUGAGUAACGCGUAGGUAACCUGCCUUGUAGCGGGGGAUAACUAUUGGAAACGAUAGCUAAUACCGCAUAACAAUGGAUGACACAUGUCAUUUAUUUUAAAGGGGCAAUUGCUCCACUACAAGAUGGACCUGCGUUGUAUUAGCUAGUAGGUGAGGUAAUGGCUCACCUAGGCGACGAUACAUAGCCGACCUGAGAGGGUGAUCGGCCACACUGGGACUGAGACACGGCCCAGACUCCUACGGGAGGCAGCAGUAGGGAAUCUUCGGCAAUGGGGGCAACCCUGACCGAGCAACGCCGCGUGAGUGAAGAAGGUUUUCGGAUCGUAAAGCUCUGUUGUAAGUCAAGAACGGGUGUGAGAGUGGAAAGUUCACACUGUGACGGUAGCUUACCAGAAAGGGACGGCUAACUACGUG